GGUGUUAUGGCUCAGUGGUAGAGCACUCACCUAGCAAGUGUGAGGCCUUGGGUUCAAUCCUCAGUACCACAU
rfam:Ictidomys tridecemlineatus contig091338, whole genome shotgun sequence.